CCUACGGGAGGCAGCAGUGGGGAAUAUUGCACAAUGGGCGCAAGCCUGAUGCAGCGACGCCGCGUGAGGGAUGACGGCCUUCGGGUUGUAAACCUCUUUCAGUAGGGAAGAAGCGAAAGUGACGGUACCUGCAGAAGAAGCGCCGGCUAACUACGUGCCAGCAGCCGCGGUAAUACGUAGGGCGCAAGCGUUAUCCGGAAUUAUUGGGCGUAAAGAGCUCGUAGGCGGUUUGUCGCGUCUGCUGUGAAAGACCGGGGCUCAACUCCGGUUCUGCAGUGGGUACGGGCAGACUAGAGUGCAGUAGGGGAGACUGGAAUUCCUGGUGUAGCGGUGAAAUGCGCAGAUAUCAGGAGGAACACCGAUGGCGAAGGCAGGUCUCUGGGCUGUAACUGACGCUGAGGAGCGAAAGCAUGGGGAGCGAACAGGAUUAGAUACCCUGGUAGUCCAUGCCGUAAACGUUGGGCACUAGGUGUGGGGGACGAUUCCACGUUUUCCGCGCCGUAGCUAACGCAUUAAGUGCCCCGCCUGGGGNGGACGGCCGCGAAGGACGUAAACUUACAAAGAAGUUAGUUACGGCGUUGAGAGNGCCGACGGACGACGACGAGGGGAGGAGG
rnacentral:rRNA from 1 species